AAGCACCGGCUAACUACGUGCCAGCAGCCGCGGUAAUACGUAGGGUGCAAGCGUUAUCCGGAAUUAUUGGGCGUAAAGAGCUCGUAGGCGGUUUGUCGCGUCUGCUGUGAAAUCUGGGGGCUCAACCCCCAGCCUGCAGUGGGUACGGGCAGACUAGAGUGCGGUAGGGGAGAUUGGAAUUCCUGGUGUAGCGGUGGAAUGCGCAGAUAUCAGGAGGAACACCGAUGGCGAAGGCAGAUCUCUGGGCCGUAACUGACGCUGAGGAGCGAAAGGGUGGGGAGCAAACAGGCUUAGAUACCCUGGUAGUCCACCCCGUAAACGUUGGGAACUAGUUGUGGGGUCCAUUCCACGGAUUCCGUGACGCAGCUAACGCAUUAAGUUCCCCGCCUGGGGAGUACGGCCGCAAGGCUAAAACUCAAAGGAAUUGACGGGGACCCGCACAAGCGGCGGAGCAUGCGGAUUAAUUCGAUGCAACGCGAAGAACCUUACCAAGGCUUGACAUAUACGAGAACGGGCCAGAAAUGGUCAACUCUUUGGACACUCGUAAACAGGUGGUGCAUGGUUGUCGUCAGCUCGUGUCGUGAGAUGUUGGGUUAAGUCCCGCAACGAGCGCAACCCUCGUUCUAUGUUGCCAGCACGUUAUGGUGGGAACUCAUGGGAUACUGCCGGGGUCAACUCGGAGGAAGGU
rnacentral:rRNA from 1 species